rnacentral:rRNA from 1 species
AUUGAACGCUGGCGGCAGGCCUAACACAUGCAAGUCGAGCGGAUGAAGGGAGCUUGCUCCUGGAUUCAGCGGCGGACGGGUGAGUAAUGCCUAGGAAUCUGCCUGGUAGUGGGGGAUAACGUCCGGAAACGGGCGCUAAUACCGCAUACGUCCUGAGGGAGAAAGUGGGGGAUCUUCGGACCUCACGCUAUCAGAUGAGCCUAGGUCGGAUUAGCUAGUUGGUGGGGUAAAGGCCUACCAAGGCGACGAUCCGUAACUGGUCUGAGAGGAUGAUCAGUCACACUGGAACUGAGACACGGUCCAGACUCCUACGGGAGGCGGCAGUGGGGAAUAUUGGACAAUGGGCGAAAGCCUGAUCCAGCCAUGCCGCGUGUGUGAAGAAGGUCUUCGGAUUGUAAAGCACUUUAAGUUGGGAGGAAGGGCAGUAAGUUAAUACCUUGCUGUUUUGACGUUACCAACAGAAUAAGCACCGGCUAACCUCGUG